rnacentral:rRNA from 1 species
UACGGAGGGGGCUAGCGUUGUUCGGAAUUACUGGGCGUAAAGCGCACGUAGGCGGCUUUGCAAGUCAGAGGUGAAAGCCUGGAGCUCAACUCCAGAAUUGCCUUUGAGACUGCAUCGCUUGAACGUCGGAGAGGUGAGUGGAAUUCCGAGUGUAGAGGUGAAAUUCGUAGAUAUCGGGAGGAACACCAGUGGCGAAGGCGGCGACCUGGGCCAAUAGUUGACGCUGAGGUGG